AGUGAACGCUGGCGGUAGGCCUAACACAUGCAAGUCGAACGGCAGCACAGUAAGAGCUUGCUCUUACGGGUGGCGAGUGGCGGACGGGUGAGGAAUACAUCGGAAUCUACUUUUUCGUGGGGGAUAAUGUAGGGAAACUUACGCUAAUACCGCAUACGACCUACGGGUGAAAGCAGGGGAUCUUCGGACCUUGCGCGAUUGAAUGAGCCGAUGUCGGAUUAGCUAGUUGGCGUGGUAAAGGCCCACCAAGGCGACGAUCCGUAGCUGGUCUGAGAGGAUGAUCAGCCACACUGGAACUGAGACACGGUCCAGACUCCUACGGGAGGCGGCAGUGGGGAAUAUUGGACAAUGGGCGCAAGCCUGAUCCAGCCAUACCGCGUGGGUGAAGAAGGCCUUCGGGUUGUAAAGCCCUUUUGUUGGGAAAGAAAAGCAGCAGGUUAAUACCCCGCUGUUCUGACGGUACCCAAAGAAUAAGCACCGGCUAACUUCGUG
rnacentral:rRNA from 1 species